rnacentral:lncRNA from 1 species
AUUUUUUCCGAGGUGACAAUCCAGAAGGCUUGGAAGCACGCAAUGAGGUAAUUGUUUACCAGGAAAACCAUUUUAAAUCAUGAGAAUAUUUUAGUAAGCUGUAUAAGUUUUAUCAGCUGAAAUCACCACCAAAUUAGCAUGGAUUCAAAGUAAUUUCUCUUGUAACUAUACUUCUUCCUCGAUAACAUAUAAUAAGGGUUAUACUGUGAUAGGCACUUGCCAUUCUAGAAGUGGAGAUAUUAAUGAUAUCUUUGUCUUGUCAUUUUCGCUAUGCCUCCAUUUUGGUAUUCUAAUAAGAUUUUCAAUUCAAAAGUCAAUUGCUUUUAUUGGACAUUUCCUUAUACCCUUAGCAAAGACUUAAUGUUUCAAGACUGUUUGCACCCCUUUCUCUCUCAUUCUGCAUAAUUUAGUAUAGAAAAAUUGGGAAAAGAAAAUUUGAGGAUUACAACCAUGACAGUACCCCAAAAGUGUUGUUUGUGAUAUUAUUCUCUGUUUAUAAUAGGGAAAUUAGAGCUUUUGGCAUCUAUGGUAUGCUACAUGCUCAAAUUUGAUUAAUGAAAAGCUGUAUGCAUGCUGUUUGCUUGUGUAGUGUAAGCAUGAUAUAUUUGUGAGAGACUUUUGUGGCUAUACAUGCAUGGCUUUUCCUAACUAAUUUCAUGCCAUUCAGUUGCCACCCUUGGAAAUAUGAAAUGUGGCUAAUUUUGCAAACUCAAGAUUUGCCUGAUCAUUAUCUUCUCAUUGGUGAAAUGGCAUGAGUCAAAAGUCUCUCGUAUGUAUGACCUUCUGCUCUAUGCGUCUAUCACAUUCAGAUCUUCCCUUGAUUUUUUUCUCCUGUUCACAGUUUCUUUGGAAAUAAUAUUUGUAAACACUGUGUAAAUCUCCUCUUUUAGUUUUUCUAGAUGUUAGUAUCUUUUGUAUAGCUGUAAAUUAGUUCUUCCCAAUCUUGUAAUCUCUAAUCCUAUAAAUAUGUAAUUUUAAUUCUUUUAAAUUCUUCAGUCCUUUCCAAAUGAUGUGAAUAUGACAUGGCUGAUUUACAAGCUGUUUAUAAAUGUCAAUUGAAGAUAUCUAGGCUUCUUACUCAUGACUUCUUUUGCUGUACUUGCAAGUUUGUGGUUGCUGAUAGCAUUGGGCAUUGCAUUUUUCUCUUAAAACUUACCUGCUGAAAGAAAUUUUUAAAUUUUGAACUUCUUUUGCUGUUUUUUGUUGUUUCUUAUUUUAAGUCAUGCCCUGAAUUGGCCUUUUUCCUUGCACAUAGUUUUAAUAUGUCACCUGCAACUAGGUAGCAGCUCUUGCAAUGGAAGAUAUGAUAUCUUGGAUGCAAGAGGGUGGACAGGUAAGUUUUAUUUUUAAUUGUGAUAAUCUGCUACAUAUAUUUUACCCUGUUCUAAUAUAAAUUUUACGUGCAUUUAGGUGGGAAUAUUUGAUGCCACAAACAGUACAAGGAAUAGGAGGAAUAUGCUUAUGAAAAUGGCUGAAGGAAAAUGCAAGGUAUGAUGAUUUUGCGGCUAGUUGAUUAUAAUUCUGCGAGGAACUGUGCAGAGUAAGACUCAAUUUGUGGCAAAUCUUCCAAUAAAAUUUUCAUAGAUGUUAUAAUAGUUUGACAUGCAUAACAUGAAAGAUGAUCGUAGAGAAGCCACUUGAGGUUUCUCCCUCUCCCGCCCUUCUUUUUUUUUUUUUUUUUGGGGGUAUUGGGGCAGCGGUCUUGUGUGUUGGGUUAAGACUUCUGAAACAGAAGCUAGAGAAAGAUUCCUACAAUGCAGACUAUAGGUUAUGUGAAUUUUCCUGGGUGUGGACCACAAUGCCUUUGAGUACAAGUGCACACCACUCAACUCUGUAAGGCCUCUUUGUUUGUUUUCGACAGCAGUGCACAAGUUAUAUUUAAUCUGUGAUGGUGGUUUGCCUUGAUAUUCUUGCUUGGCAUCUAAUUUUUUAUAUGACAUAAACCAUAGCUGAUUCUCGGUGCCUUUUAGAGUGAGAGCCUGUUAGUGUGAUUACAUGUUCUUUGCUUCAGAUUAUCUUUUUGGAGACAAUAUGCAAUGAUCAGCAAAUAAUUGAAAGAAAUAUACGCCUCAAAGUUCAGCAGAGCCCUGACUAUGCGGAAGAGUAUGACUAAACUCGUUUCAUUGUAAUGCUAACCCACUGUAAUUUUACGUCGUGAUUCAUGAUAUUUUCAGGCCGGAUUUUGAAGCUGGAUAUCAUGACUUCAAACAUCGACUUGAGAACUAUGACAAAGUAGUUUCUUGAAACAUACUAUAGCUCAAGUUUUUAUUAUUAUUUUUUUGAUGGAUGCUAUGGGUAAUAGUGUUUUAUAGGUAGCAUUUUCUGAUUUCAGGUUUAUGAACCCGUAGAAGAAGGCUCUUAUAUCAAAAUGAUUGAUAUGGUCAGUGGCCAUGGUGGACAAAUACAAGUAAAACCUCCUUUCCAUCAUGUCUAAAUCUUAUCAAAUUAGUUUUGUUCAGUAUAUUUUCUAUAAAAUCAAAUUUGAAUAUCUAUUACAUAUAUAUGCAAGGUUGCUUCUCUUGCAUGAAUGGUUGCGUAAAAUAAUAGAAAAGAGACAACAAUCUUGUAUGCAAACAAUCUCCAAUAAAUCCUUGGUGGUGCUAGAAAUUUCCUUUUAUGCUUAAUUUAUUGGCACAUACAGCAGUUCCAUACACAUCGUAUUAAUUUGCCAUUAUAUGAUUUUGGAUCUGCAGAUGAUUUCUAUCUUUUUGAUAAAACCAAAUUUAAUAAUAAAUUGAAACACGUGUGAUUAGUGAUAUAGAGAGGUCCUACGAUUUAGACAAAAAUUGAUUCUCCAAUCAAUGCUAGAGUUCAUAAAUCUUCUAAGGAAAAAACCUGAAGAAAAAACUCGAAACUGGGAGCAGUAGAUUUGAUUAAUUCUUGUAAUUUUCUUGGAUUAUCUGACUUUUUAUUGAGCCACGUUAAUUAUAUUCUUUAUCAUUCCCUCCUCCAUAAAAGAAAAUUGCCAUUAGUUUGCUAGUGGUUGCCUGAAUCUUCUUCUCCAAGAUUGAAUUAAUAAGCUGGGAACAUUGAAUGUAAGAUGUAUUCUUCAAGUAAGGUGCCAAAGUCAAUUUCGUCAAGAUUAACCCAUAAAGAGAUGGGAAGAAGGAAAUAGUUUGAUAAAGAAAAAAAGAGGUGAAGGGAAGAAAGAGCAAUGAAAUAAAGAAGAAAUUGAGGGUCUCUUUCUUGGUUUAAUAAGUAAAGGGAAUGUCGGUUAUAUUAGAGUAUAUUUCCAUGUAGAGGUUAAUAAAAUCACCGAAAAUCAGGGAUUAAUUCCAUUGUAUAGCUAAUUAUUUUCUUUCCUUAUAUAGCUUGUAAUAUUCUAUAAAUCAAAUGUAAUACACACGAGAAGAUUCAUUCUGCAAAAUAUUGUCAUGGUAUCAGAGACCUAAAAUCCUCUUUCUCGUACUUGUGAUCGUCCUCGUGUGUUCGACACCAUCCAGGGGCGAACCCACAUGGGGUCAUGUGGGGUCAAAUGACCCCACAGUUUUUUUUUUUUUUUUUUUUUUUGAAAACGGUUAUCCAUGAAUAUUUGGGAGUUCCAAUUAAUUCCUAGCCGGCUAGCCCAAUGACUCCAAUCCAUUAUCCAUAUCCAUUAAUCCAUAGUCCAUAGAUGAUAGACCUAAGACCAUAAUCCACUCUCCACUCCAUUGUCUUCCCACCGAUUUCUGAUGAGAAAAAUGUAGGAAAAUUUGAAAACUUAAUGAAUUCUAAAGUACGAAAAACGUUAUCUUUUAAGAGAUGUUUCUUUCCUAUCCAACGAAGUCACUAUUGGGGUAUGAUAGAAAAUCUCUCUUAGAAUACAAUGGAGGCGUUUGAUUCAAAUUGUGACUAUUUGAUCAAACCAAGAAGACACUCGAAAAAGAACUGAUGAUGCCAAGAGAAAGAGAGAAGAAUAUUUUUUAAUGUAUUUUGCAAACGAGAAUUCGCCCAGAAUUUAUAGAAAUUAAGGCAACCGUUUGAAUAGGUGUAUCCCUUAAAAUGAAGAACACAUAUGUUGGAAGUAGCAGUCAAAACGAACAAAUGCACCUAUUCAAAGACUUUUGAAAAUAAAAUUCUCUUUCGGGGGCGUUGCCCUUUGCGCAACAACAAACACUAGUCGAAGUGGCAAAUCAUUCGCAAAACAAAAAAAUAAAUACAUGCAAAAUGAUGAAAAAUAUCUAACAAUUUCUUCCCAAACAGCAGCGAAGCCUUCAUUUUUGACCCCACAGUCUGAAGUCUAUGGGUCCGCCCCUGGCACCAUCUCGUGUUUUUUCGGCAAUCUAUAGUUGGUAGGUGGUUGAUCGUAGUCGACGACUGUCAUCGGACCACUGUUCAUUGAAGUUCGUAUCUUCGGUGGUCGCAUCCCUUCUCUUCCUCAUUGGUUGAGUUUCUCGGCCUUCGUCUUUGUCUCUAUCUUUGUCUUGCGUCGCGCCUCCCGGUUUGCUCCGCCUAGUGGUGUUUAGUCAUAGUUUCCUUCUCAGUUCAGUUGUUGAUUCUUGGUCGAGGGAGGUUUUUGGCAUCUCGGUGUUGGGUUGGGGACUUCACAUCUCCAGUUGAAUUCUUCUUUGUAUUAACUUGGUUUCUUCUCUUUCUCCUGGACUGGGACGUGAAUUGUGGUGGUGUUGGGCUAUUGGGCUUGAUUCAUUAUUAGUUAAGCUGAAUUAUUUGAAUAGUGUUGGUCGAUUGUAUUUGGGCUACUCUUUUAAUUAAGCCCCCGUUUGAGCUCCAUUAUUUCUCAUUACAUUAAAUCAAAAUUUUCUCUAUCCCUACUUUUAACCACACAAUUUUCAAUAAAAUAAUAUUACACGUAAAUCAAAAGUUUUUCAACAACUCAUUUUAAAAAAAACACUAUUCAUCUCAUUAUAAUCUACAAAUAAUGGGGCUCAAAUGGGGGCUAAUUAUUAGUUCCAUCAUGUCAACCGAUAAGAAUUGAGUCGGUUUGUAUUCGCUUUUUUGGAAAAAAUUAUUCUUCAUGGGCUUUUCACUUUCAAUUGUUGGUUGAAGGCAAAGGCGAUCUUUGGGGAUAUAUUGAUGGAGAUCUUCCUUCUCCUGAUCAAGAGAAGGAUAAAGAAAAGUAUAUUGCUUGAAAAACCAAAGAUUCUCAACUUAUGGCCUGGAUCAUUGGAUCAGUUGAUGAGUAGAUUGUCCUUAAUCUCAGACCUUACAAGUCAGUCCGUGCUAUGUGGGAGUUCUUGAAGAAAGUCUAUACUCAAAGUAAUAAUGCUUGGCGACUUCAGUUGGAGUUUGAAUUAGCAAAUUUCUCUCAUGUUCCAUUGAAGAAUAUUAUUCAGGAUUCUCUAACCUUUGGGCCGAGUACACAAAUAUUAUCUACGCUUUGGUUUCAUUAAACAAUUUGGAGGCUAUCCAAGUUGUACACGAAGUCACCAAGAGAGAUCAAUUUCUUAUGAAAUUAUGAACUGAAUUUGAAUCCACCCGAUCUGGUCUUAUGAAUUGCGAGUCUCUUUCAUCACUGGAUGGUUGUUUGGGUGAAUUACUGAGGGAGGAGCAGUGUCUUAUCACUCGCGCUUCUUUGGAACAACAACAGAAUAAUGUAGCACCGGCUCUCAUUGCUUAUGUGGCUCAAGGAAAAUUCAAGCAUCGGGAUAUGUCUGUUUGCAAUGUUAUAGUUGUAAGGGAUUUGGUUACAUAGCUCUUCAGUGUCCUAAAAAAGUUUGCAAUUAUUGCAAGAAGUCUGACUAUGUUAUUAAGGAGUGCCCCACUUGUCCUCCACGCAACAUUGGAGCAAAUUAUAUUGCUGUUGCAACUUUAGCCUCUAAUUCUGCUUUACCACCUGCUCCUUUUCAAGUUCCAACAUUUCUCAACUCUUCUCAAACUCACAUAACUCCUGAGAUGAUUCAACAAACGAUUAUCUCUGCUUUGGGUAUCUCAGGUAAUACACCAUCUACUCGUUCUUCUUGAUUAUUAGACUCAGGUGCCUCUAACAAUAUGACUCACGAUCCUUUGUUACUUUGUAACCUUAGACCAUAUAUAGGACCUUUCAAUGUACACACUGCCGAUGGUAACAAACUUCCUUUCUUCGCUGUGGGAGAUAUAUCACUUUAACCUCUCCUCAUUUAUUAACUAAUCUUUAUCUAUCGGGUAACUUAUUGAUAAUAAUUGUAUUGUCUCUUUUUCUUCUUCUAAUUGUCAUGUACAAGAUCAGAUGUCUGGAAGGACUAUCGAAAGGGACCUAAAGUGGGACGUCUGUUUCCUAUUUCAUAAAAGCCUAUUCCAUUUUCUUCUUCCGUUUGUAAUUCUGCCACUUUAGAUAUUUUUAAGUGGCAUAACAAAUUGGGACACCCCAAUUCGAAUGUGCUACUACACUUGUUAAACUCGGGUUUGCUUGGUAAUAAAAAUGCUGCUUCAGUUAUCUCUCUCGAUUGUGCGUCAUGUAAACUUGCUAAAAGUAAAGUUCUACCAUUCCCAUCUCAUGAUUCUCGUGCUUUACAAAUUUUCGAUAUUAUUCGUAGUGAUGUAUAGGGUGUUGCACCUGUGGUAUCCUAUGCACAUUAUAAAUACUUUGUUAUCUUUAUCGAUGAUUAUAAUCGAUUUACAUGGAUUUAUUUUCUUCGUGCAAAGAGUUAUGUCUUCUUUGCUUUUCAAGUCUUUCUUGCUCUCAUUGACAAUCAAUUUUAUUCCUCGAUCAAAGUCUUAAGAUCUGAUUCAGGAGGUGAAUGAAUGUCUAGAGCUUUUCAAUCUUUCUUACAACUCAAAUGUAUCAUUUCUCAGCGAUCUUACCCUUCUACGCCUCAACAAAACGGCGUGGCAGAACGCAAGAAUCGUUAUGUUCUUGAUAUGGUUCGAGCUCUUUUGAUUGAGUAUUCUGUUCCCUCUCGUUUUUUGUGUGAAGCAUUGUAUACCGCUGUGCAUCUCAUAAACCGAUUACAUUCUCUCACUUUUAGUAAUGUUUCUUCAUUUUUGAAAAUAUUUGGUUAUCAUCCCACAUAUUCUCAUCUCCGUCCCUUUAAGUCUGUAUGUUUUGUUCAUUUGCAAUCACAUGAAAGGACAAAACUUACUCUUCAAUCUGUCAAGUGUGCCUUUCUGGGAUAUGGUGGGACUAAAAAAUGGUACAUCUGUUAUGAUCCUACAUCACAACGAAUUCGUAUUUUUCAUAAUAUUAUUAUUUUUGAAAAAUAAUCAUUCUUCAGUUCAGAAACUGUAGUUUCUCCUCCUGUGUUCUCUAUGUUACCUGAUUUCCCUGCAGAACCAUCUCGGUACAAGCCAGCCUUGUUUACGCUCGUAGGCAUGUUGCAUCCAUCACUAAUCUAGAUCUUGUUUCUCCGAUAAUGGUCCUUCCAAGCUUCUCUGAUCCUCUACCUACGACUCCUGAUCCUGCACAUGAUGAUGUGCCGCCUCCCGUCCCUCUUCGUCUUACUUCUCAUGUUUCUCGACCACCCAAUAGGUAUGGUUUCUCCUUCCGUAGUUCUAUGUCCGCUACACUUAAUUCGAUUUCUAUUCCUUCUUCCCAUAGACAAGCUAUAGAACAUGAAUGUUGGUAACAGGCUCGAGGCUCUUCAGGCCAAUCAGACCUAGGAUAUUAAGUGUGAAACCCAUUGGAAGUAAAUGAGUAUAUUUCGUUAAACUUCGUUCUGAUGAUUCUCUUGAGUGUUAUAAGGCUCGAUUAGUUGUUUUGGGUAAUCAUCGGGAGUAUGAUGAGACAUUUGCUCUUGUAGCAAAAAUGACCACAGUUCAUCUCUUGUUAUUGCUUGCCACUUCCCAAUCAUGGUUUUUACAUCAAAUGGAUGUGAAGAACGCAUUCCUACAUGUACACCUCAAGGAGGAUAUUUAUAUGAAACUUCCAUCUGGUAUGCCUCUUCCCUUAAUUGACUCUAGAUAUUGGCUAAAAUGCUUUUUGUAUGAUCUUAAGUAGGCUCAUUGGGCAUGGUUGACAAAUUUCGUUGUACUCUUUUGGAUUUCUUAUUUACCCGAAGUCAGUAUGAGGCAUCUCUGUUUUUCACAAGAGUAUUGUUGGCAUUGUCUUUUUAUUGGUAGAUGUGGAUGAUAUUAUUAUCUCUGGAUUUGAUCACAGUCUUAUCCAGAAACUUCAGCAGCAUCUUCACUCGAUUUUUCACAUGAAAGACCUUGUUCAACUUACUUUCUUGGUUUAGAGGUACAUACCACAUCAGAUGGUAUCUUCUUGAAUCAACAUGAGUAUAUUUGAAGCCUCCUCAGUUGAUACGCUGUUGGAGCAUAAUGCCAAAUAUCGAGAAGAUGGAGGAGAUUUUCUUCCAGAUUCUACUCUUUAUUGGAAGUUUGUAGGUAGUCUCAUCCAUCUCACCAUCACACGUCCGGAUAUUUCCUAUGCGGUUCAUACUAUAAGCAAGUUUAUGGACGCUCCUCAUCAUCUUCAUUUGGUAGCCGUUCGUCGCAUUAUUUGCUAUCUUAUUGAAACUCCUCAUCGUGAUCUUUUCUUCCCUGGGGGGUCAUCUCUUGAGCUCACAGCUUAUAGUGAUGCUGAUUGUGCUGGUUGUCCUGAUUCCCGUCGAUCUGCUAUUGGAUGGUAUAUUUUUUUUUGGUGAUGCUCUCAUUUCUUGGAAAUGUAAUAAACAAGAAUGUGUUUCUAAGUCUUCCACUGAGGCUGAAUACCGAGCUAUAUCCGCUGCAUGUUUUGAGGUUACGUGGUUGCAUGGUCUUUUGGCAGAACUUGGUAUCUCUCAAUCAUAGUUUACACCCUUUCAUGGUAACAACAUUAGUGCUAUUUAGAUUGCGGCCAAUCCUGUGUAACAUGAACGCAGCAUAUAGAAGUCGAUUGUCAUUACAUCCGGAAUGCCUAUGAUUCCAAAGUCAUAUCUCUUCCCCAUGUUUCCACUUCACAACAGGGUACACAUAUCUUCACCAAAUUGUUAACUCGCCUCCUUCAUAACUUUCUCGUGAGUAAAUUGAUGCUUGUGGACUCCCCAACAUCAAUCGGGUCCGGGGGCGGGGGUUGUCAUUAGAGUAUAUUUCCAUGUAUAGGUUAAUAAAUCACAAACAAUCAGGAUUAAUUCCAUUGUAUAGCUAAUUAUUUUCUUUCCUUAAUAGCUUGUAAUAUUUUUAAAUCAAAUGUAAUACACACGAGAAGAUUCAUUCUGCAAAAUAUUGUCACGUUAAUCCCACAAUAAAAAAGGACCUAAAUAUGGAAUUUAGUUUUCGACCAGUUCUUGCUUUGGACUUUAUUUUAUCAAAUUUCCUUUCUAUGUAUUUCAAUUAGAUGAUGUUAAGUAGUUGAGCUUUGCAUUCUACCUUCCUAGUUUGUUAAGGACCUCAAUUUUUGGCAUUCAUCCAGUCUGAUUUUUGUUACAUUCUUCCUCACAUGCAUUUAUAUUUCAUUAUUUCAGGAUGAGAAUAAAUUAGAUUGGGAUAUCAGUAAAAGCCAUUUGAUCAAUGGUCCGUAGAUUGUGUAACUAUUACUUAACUUCAGCUACAGUCUGUAGGUUGUAUAAUUGUUAAAAAAACAUGUGAUUCUACUUCUAUAGAUUAUUAAAAUUAUGAUCUUUUUUUAAUGUUAUGGUCUAUUUUUGCUUCGGUAAAAAGUUGAAGCUACUGUUUGAACAAUAAUUUUAGAGUUUUGUUCUGAAUUUCUUGGCUUCCCAUUGCUUUUCUCCUUUUCCUUUCAAUGGAAAACAUCAUUGCUGGUUGCUACCUAAUUGUGAAUAUUUGUGAAACAGGUGAACAACAUUAGUGGCUAUCUUCCUGGUCGUAUAGUAUUUUUCCUGGUACGUCCUAUUUCAUUGUGUCGUAACACUUACCUACUCGUCUUGCAAUAUUACAUGGCUGUUUCUAUAGAUAUACCAUUCUAUCAUUAUCAAUGUCAAGUGUGAACAGAAGCACUUUUAACGAUGUAUAAGGUUCUAACCCAGAAAAGUUCAUGUAAGAGACCUUGGUCCACGUAGUACUCUUGAGGAGAUUUCCUUUGUCCCAAUCUAACUGGUGAUAAAAGUGCCAGGGAUUACAUAAAAUUAAAAAUGAUAAAUUUCAACUGUUCCCGAUGACCCAGGGUACUGUAUAUAUGUUUUCUUCUCAAUGUUGUUGCAAUUAGCAUAUUUGGAUCAUUAGGUUUCUCUAAACCUGUUUCUUCAAGCUGUAUGCUGCUUUCCCAUCUAUAUUUUGAACUUGCGACUUAUUAUAUAUGUAAAAGGAUCUGGAGGAAAAGGCUUUGCUCUAUAACAUUCCUCUCUUAUGAUCUAAGUAUUAUUUUUUCUCUUCAUCCGGCUAUUUAUUCAUUUAUUUUUUAUUUUGCCCCUAUUUGGGCCCCAUCCUUUAAAAAACAAUUUUCUUCAAAUUCAUUUUCAACCAUAUAUUCUCCCAAUAAAUAAUUUUGCACAUAAAUUCAAUUUUUUUUUUCUAUUUUUUAACUGCACGUUCUCUAAAAAAAAAAAUCACUUUUUGAUAAUCUAUUCUCAAAAAAUGGGGCUCCCCCCCCCCCCCCUCCCCCUUUCUUUUGCACUGCUUUAAAUAUAUUACAUAAAGAUAUGACUUCAGAUUGUGUUUCUUUCCAUUUUGCAGGUGAAUACACAUCUGACGCCAAGACCAAUUCUGCUUACUAGGCAUGGAGAGAGCCGUGACAAUGUUAGAGGCAGAAUUGGUGGUGACAGUGUGUUGAGGUUCUUUUUUAUUU